GGGAGUAGUUUAGUGGUAGAACCUUAGCCUUCCAAGCUAAUGAUACGGGUUCGAUUCCCGUCUCCC
rnacentral:tRNA from 1 species